CUGGGCUGUUAAGAACAGAAGAGGCUCUAUUAGGGGACAGAGACGCAAUUGGGAGCAUCACAGGUGAUGCCAACUAAUGUUCUCUCUAGAGUGCACCAGGAGUUCAACCCUAUAUGCCUAAUUAAUCACAUUGUGAAACACUUGCAGUGCUGGAUUGGUGUUAAUCAGACUAGGCUGGGGAUCAGCACGCUGCCCUGGGCAGCACGUGUUGCCGAGGAGGGGAAGCAUAUCUCAGCUGAGAGAAUAAAUGAUACGCUGUUUUCUCUUCUUGUAACAGCACAACAAAGCGCUGCCAGAAGCCUGGUGCGUCUGAGGAGCCCUGCAAUAAUGAACAGGAAAAUGAAGCCUAGUUCUUGUGAAUAAUCUUGUGUGUUAAACAGCCACAGUAGCAAGAUGUUGAGACCAUUAGGAUGAAUGCACGUUGCUCAUCAGAUGUCAGGCUGAAAUCCAGAUGUAGAGUGGAAAUCUGAUGGUGGUGUGUGUUACAGAAGAAUCACAGGAGGACUUCGCAAGCUUUGUCCCUCUUGAAGCACAAAGCAGAUGGGCCUGCUCAUGUGGAUGGCUGCUGGAGCAAGGUCCUUGCUUUGUGCUUCUGUCCCUCUUUCUGCUGCUGACACCAGAUACCCUUUGGCAAAGAGGCUGCAAGGAAAAGCCAGGGCGAGCAGCCAGGCAGCCCUGCUUUUACAUUCCAAGGCUGUAAUUUCUAAAGCAGUUUAUGCCAUCAAGCGUGGACAGACUGUUCAGAAUAAAAGAAGGAACAUUUCCAGUUAGAGGAAACCUCACCAGUGUGCCUAUGCGACGCCUGUCCAGUCUCCCUCCUCCAGCAGGGGCAGGGACCAAGCCCUGCAGCUGGAGCAAAGCUCCUUGUCCAGGGAAGGAGCUGCUGCUCUGGCAGAGCACGGACAUUAAAUUCAAAGUGUUACUAAUUUAGUGUGUGCAGCUAUAUUUCAUAAUCGACAUAGAAGAGUAAUUGAAAGCCAGUAUUUCAAAUUCCUUGCAGUCAGUGAGCUUCUUGUUGUAGGGUUUUGAUUUGGGUCCAUUCUGAUGGGGCUUUCUCCAAGAACUUGCCACAUUUCUGAGUAACCACUGCAUCAGGAAGACCCAAAGAGCCUUUUCAGUUUUCUUUUUCAUUAGCUUGCUUGUUUCUUUUAUCCUGCCCUUGUCAUUGGUGCAAGGCUUUCCGGAGACAUAUGUGCUUGUUGGGGUAGAGGGCAGGCAGUGAAGUGAAGUGUUUGCUGUGAGCUGAGGCUGUCCUGGGGCUGGCUUGGGUAGCAUGGGACUAUGAGAAAAUAGCCCUGUAUUUCUCUUCUUCUUUGUCAUGCUUAUGAGCUAACCUGUACAACACAACCCUAGGAGCUAGUAACUUAAUAGUACAUAGUAUAUAUUUAAAGAAAGAUGAAAUUUUCCAGCAGUGAGGGGAUUUCAGGAACCAGAGCGUUUUAAACAAAAAUAAAAUCACUCUAUUUCUGACACUAAUAUCUGUCACUUGGUAGAAAAUUUUGGGAGCUAGUGACACAACAUCUUAUAGUCCUGAUAGGGCAGUGAGAAA